rnacentral:tRNA from 1 species
GUCAGGAUGGCCGAGCGGUCCAAGGCGCUGUGUUCAGGUCGCAGUCUCCACUGGAGGCGUGGGUUCGAAUCCCACUUCUGACA